GACGAACGCUGGCGGCGUGCCUAAUACAUGCAAGUCGAACGCAGUGGGGACGGGUGAGUAACACCUGGGUAACCUCCCAUAAGAGGGGAGAACACUUGGAAACAGGUGCAAAACCGAUACUGAUGGAGCGACCCGCGUGGGAUUAGCCUGUGGGGGGGGUAACGGCCCACCACGGCCACGAUGCCUAGCUGGCCUGAGAGGUUGACCGGCCACACUGGGACUGAGACACGGCCCAGACUCCUACGGGAGGCAGCAGUAGGGAAUCUUCGGCAAUGGACGAAAGUCUGACCGAGCAACGCCGCGUGUGUGAAGAAGGUCUUCGGAUCGUAAAGCUCUUUUAGUAGGGAAGCGGUACCUACACAGAAAGCCACGGCUAACUCCGUGCCAGCAGCCGCGGUAAUAC
rnacentral:rRNA from 1 species